rnacentral:lncRNA from 1 species
AUAGCAGUGUGAGAAUGGGCUAAUACAGGUGGUAUAUAGGCAAAUGCAUGUGAAGCACUACUGAAUGAAAAAUAUGAAAAGAUUGAUAACCUCUGGCCUUCUUGUGGUCUGAGAAAAACAGACUUCUUACUUUUACUGCUGUGGUCAGGUUUUCUGUUGUCUGUGGCCAAUGCACUCCUCAUAGUCACAACAAAGAAGUAAACAGACAGUGCUUGAAGAUUGUAAAUUGGGGUAAAUCUUUCUAGAGGAAAUACAGAAAUAUGUAACAAAAAUCUCCUGAUUUUGGUAACUUAUUAGUAAAUAAGUUUAAACUUUAAUUUGUACAUAUUUUACCUAUUGUGAAUGUACAUAAAGAUUCAAAUAUUUGAAUAUUAAUUUAAUCAUUUUGGGUUUGGGGUUUUAUUUGAGUCUCACUCUGUCAUUCAGGCUGGAGUGCAGUGAUAUGAUCACGGCUCACUGUAGCCUUCAUCUCCCAGGCUCAACUGAUCCUUCCACCUCAGCCUAGUGGGUAGCUGGGACUGUAGGUACAUGCUACCAUGCCUGGCUAAUUUUUUAAAAUGUUUUUGUGGAGAUGGGGUUUUGCCAUGUUGCCCAAGCUGGUCAUGGUCAUUGUUAGUAGCAUUAAAAAAAACUACUUUAUAUCCCAACAAUAUAUUAUUUACAUAAAUAUUAUAUAAUAUUUACAUAAAUUAUGGUUCAACCAUCCAAUAGAAUACUUUACACUCAUUAAAACUCAGGUUGUAUAACUUCACAGGAAAAGCUUCAUAAUAAGUGUAAAAAGGAGCUUUCUCAAAGAAGUAGGAAUAAUCUCAUUUUAAUAUAAUGAUAAUUACAUAUUUAUAAUGAUUACUUACAUAUAAUUAUAUAAUAUAUGAUUAUAAAUUAUCAAUAUACUUAUAUAAUUAAAUAUAGAAAAUAAUAUAAAACAUAUAAAUAUUUUUAUAUUACAUAGGCAGAAAAGUUGGAGGAUUUUACUAACCAAAACUAUAGUAGUGAUUAUCUUUAACAGUGCUUUUUAUUUUUUUACAUUACAUCUUACAUUUUGUAUAAUACAUUUUUUCUACAAUUUCAAAUUUUACAUUGUUCUUGUAUUGCUUUUUCAACCAAAAAAGAAUAAAUAUUAUUUUUUUAAUUAAAACCAUGGUUAGAACUCAGCUGAUAUGAAUGUAAAGUCAAUGGCUAUAAAAUUAUUUUUUAAAUUGUUACACAUGGACUUACUCCUAAGUAAAUGCAUUUCCCCAUGAGAAGAAUUAUUUCUGUCUUUACUUUAGUGUCUAGAAUACUGCAAUUUUGUGUAAAUAUGAAAUUGGGUCUUGCUCAUCUUCAUACAACUUUCUUAGGUGCUCAUGGCAUCAGAGAGCCAGUAGUGUUUUAAACAGAGUCCUUACAAUCUGGAAAUUUGAGUUCUAAGUUUGGAUUAUUUACAUCUUCAAUUGUGUUUUCACUAAGUCCCUUCACUCUUCGGGAAUUAUAGUUUCCUACAUGUAAAAAGAUAUCUCUUAUGAUUAAAUCAUGAGGUAUCCUGGGCAGAUGAUGACUUCAGUGAUGUUGUGCCCCCGAAAAAGAGUGUGGCUCAGAGCGGGACAUGUUUUCCUUUCCUUUGAAUGCAUAUUACCUUGGUCAUCUCCACUGCCUCCUACAAGGCAGAUAAGCAACAGAUGUGACCAUUACAAACACUCGUCAGAUGAAGCAGUGACAUAAACAGGCAGAGUAGGAUGAGGGUGUGUUGUUUUGCAGACCACGUGGGAGGACCAGCUUUCAGAGCCAAGAAUGAAUAUUGGAUGAAGUUAUUAGGUAAAAAUGGACUUGCUCAACAUCCCAGAAAGGAAACUCCUCCUGUGCCCGAGUUCAAGAACAACUUCCUAGGGUGGAAUGAGAGACUUCAGCUGAUGGAGGGGAAAAUGACAUGCCACCUGGAGAAAAACCCAAGGAGAGACCAAUAUUCCUCUUGUUCCCCUUACAGGUCUUACACUUUCCCACUGAAACAGGAGUUAACAUCAGCACAAUUCAGGUGCCCGAGGAGUUCCUUUUUUUUCAGAGGCAGGGUCUCUCUCUCUCUCUCUGUCUGUUGCCCAGGGUGGAGUGCCAUGGAGCAAUCAUAGCUCACAGGAGCCUCGAACUCCUGGUCUCAAGGGAUUCUCUUGCCUUGGCUCCCCAAAACUCUGGAAUUAUAGGCAUAACCCACCACACCCAGCUCCUGCGGGGUUCUUUAUCUUUGGCAAGUCUUAAGUUAGCUCCAACUUGAUUGGGAUGAGGAUAGAGUAGAUUCCUUCUAUCUCUUUUUUUAAAUUAAAGUAGUUUAAGAAAAGAUAUGGAAAUGCAGAAAUGGAUACAAUGUACUCUAAAAAGAUGUCAGGAAUACACUCCCUCUCACGUUCUCUCUCUCCCCUCUCUUUCUCUCUCUCUCUCUCUCUCCACCCCCCUUCCUCCCUCCCUCUCUCUGUUUAUGCCAAGCUGAAUGGGAAAACGUGACAGGGUACACUUUCUGAGGGUUUCAAAAAGAAAAAUAGUAACUUUAAGGUAAAGAAGCCUGGAAGACACCACCUUAACCUACUAAUCAAAGUUAACAUCAUCAGUAAGAGACAAAUCAACGGCCUAUGUCUCCCGAUAUGCUGCACUCAAAAGGACAUGGCAUAAUUCCUGUGAUUUUUUUACUCAAAAUAAUUAAUGUAUAUUUAAUUGUGGAAUCUAUCAGAUAGCCCUAAAUUUGGCCAGGCACAAUGGCUCACGCCUGUAAUCCCAGCACUUUGGGAGGCCAAGGUGGGGGUAUCACUUGAGGUCAGGAGUUCGAGACCAGCCUGGUCAACGUGGUGAAACACCCUCUCCACUAAAAAUACAAAACUUAGUCUGACAAGGUGGCACAAGCCUCUAAUCCCAGCUACUCAGGAGGCUGAGGCAGGGAAAUCUUUUGAACCUGGGAGGAGGAGGUUUCAGUGAGUCGAGAUUGUGCCACUGCACUCCAGCCUGGGUGACAGAGUGAGACUGUCUCAAAUAAAAAAACAUAAUAACCCUAAAUUUAGAAAUAUUUCUAAACAUAACUGACCAGUGCCCUUCAAAAGUGACAAGAACAUGAAAGACGAAGAAGCACUGAGAAUCAGUUCUAGAAUAAAGGAGAGUAGAUAUACAUGGCAGCCAAAACCAGCAUGUGAUCAUGGAUUGGAUCCUGGACAAUAAAAAUGACAUUACAGAGACAAUUGGUAAAACUUUAAAGAAGGUUUAAUAAUUGUACUGAAUCAAUGUUUAAUCUCCUGAUUUUGAUAAUUUAGUUACAUAAGAUGUUAACUUCUGGGAAAUUUUGGUGAAAAUGUACAAAGAUUUUUUGUAGCUGCUUUAUAAACCUGAAAUGAUUUAAAAAUGAAGAGUUAAAAAAUUAAAAAUAAACAUAUGAAAAUGGGCAGAGAAAUAAUUUCAUAUUUCACAUAGAACUCAGAGUACUUUUAGUAGCAACGGUCCUGUCAAGCAGUAACCCCAUUUUAUAAAAUUAAGGAACUUAGACUAAGAAAGCUGAAGUCACAUGCUUUAAGAUCACAGAAUUAGUGAAUGUUGACUUCAGGUCUGUUAUGGCUGAUAACAGAUACGAUAUUUUGAUAAAUUGAACACUUUAGUCUCAUGAAAUGCCCUCUUUAUCCCUGGUGAUAUUUCUUGUUUUGAAUUCCCAUGUAAUCUUAAAAGACACAGUUCAGCUUUAUUAUGAUCAGUGUUUGCAUGUUACAUCUUUUAUCAUCCUUUUACUUUUAUCCUUUUUUGAUAUUUAAAGUGAAUUUCUUGUAGACAGUAUGUAAGUAGCAGGUCAUAUUUUUUUAUUCGGUCUUACAAUCUCUGCCUUUUAAUUAGACUGUUUAUACCGUUUGGGUUUAAUGUAAUUAUCAAUACAGUUAUGUUGAAAUUCA